rnacentral:rRNA from 1 species
UACGAAGGGGGCUAGCGUUGUUCGGAAUCACUGGGCGUAAAGCGCACGUAGGCGGACAUUUAAGUCAGAGGUGAAAUCCCAAGGCUCAACCUUGGAACUGCCUUUGAUACUGGGUGUCUUGAGGUCGGAAGAGGUGAGUGGAACUGCGAGUGUAGAGGUGAAAUUCGUAGAUAUUCGCAAGAACACCAGUGGCGAAGGCGGCUCACUGGUCCGAUACUGACGCUGAGGUGCGAAAGCGUGGGGAGCAAACAGG